rnacentral:rRNA from 1 species
CGUGUAGGCGGUUCGGAAAGUCAGAGGUGAAAUGUCCCGGCUCAACCGGGGACCUGCCUUUGAAACUUCCGGACUUGAGGCCGUGAGAGGAAACUGGAAUUCCUAGUGUAGCGGUGAAAUGCAUAGAUAUUAGGAAGAACACCAGUGGCGAAGGCGAGUUUCUGGCACGGUUCUGACGCUGAUGCGCGAAAGCUAGGGGAGCGAACG